rnacentral:rRNA from 1 species
UACGAAGGGGGCUAGCGUUGUUCGGAAUUACUGGGCGUAAAGGGCGCGUAGGCUGUGCUGUAAGUCAGGCGUGAAAAUCCCCGGGCUCAACCUGGGAAUUGCGUUUGAUACUGCGGCGCUGGAAUGCAGGAGAGGAUGGCGGAAUUCCCAGUGUAGAGGUGAAAAUUCGUAGAUAUUGGGAAGAACACCGGUGGCGAAGGCGGCACUCUGGCCCUGGUAACUUGACGUCU